GACGAACGCUGGCGGCGUGCUUAACACAUGCAAGUCGAACGGAAAGGCCCCUUUGGGGGUACUCGAGUGGCGAACGGGUGAGUAACACGUGAGUAACCUGCCCUUGACUUCGGGAUAACUUCAGGAAACUGGGGCUAAUACCGGAUAGGAAUCCUUGCUGCAUGGUGGGGGUUGGAAAGCUCCGGCGGUUUUGGAUGGACUCGCGGCUUAUCAGCUUGUUGGUGGGGUAGUGGCUUACCAAGGCUUUGACGGGUAGCCGGCCUGAGAGGGCGACCGGCCACAUUGGGACUGAGAUACGGCCCAGACUCCUACGGGAGGCAGCAGUGGGGAAUAUUGCACAAUGGGCGGAAGCCUGAUGCAGCAACGCCGCGUGCGGGAUGACGGCCUUCGGGUUGUAAACCGCUUUCAGCAGGGGCGAAGCUUGUGGUGACGGUACCUGCAGAAGAAGCACCGGCUAACUACGUG
rnacentral:rRNA from 1 species